GUUUGUGUUGAACAAGUUCGUUUAUCUUUAAAAAAUACACACAUCAAAAUGGUCUAGAGAAUAAUGUUAUGAAAAGGAAAUAAAUAAAGGAUUUCCAAAAGAUCCGACCUUAACCCCUUCUGACAAACAUGGAGCACCUUGGUAUCCGCCCCAGGCUCGAACUCAUGUCCGGUCUCAAUAAUAUGAUUGGCGAACGAGAAGAGAUUCAAGAAAGUAAUAAUCGUCAGAUACAUGUCAUUAGAAAAAAAGUAUUUCUGAUACUUACAGCAUCUUUAUACGUUUAAGGAGGUACACCUACGUCAAAUUCAAAUAAUAUGAAAUCUAUAGGACAUAUUUAAUUUAUUUUUUACCUUAGAUGUAAAAGUUUAUUUUUUUAAAAUUAUUUUUAUAUAAAAAUAUUCAUAGAACUUAAUUUAAAUGUAUU